CACGUAGGGGGCAAGCGUUGUCCGGAUUCAUUGGGCGUAAAGAGCGUGUAGGCGGCCAGGUAGGUCGGUUGUGAAAACUGGAGGCUCAACCUUCAGAGGUCGACCGAAACCAUCUGGCUAGAGUCCGGGAGAGGAGAGUGGAAUUCCUGGUGUAGCGGUGAAAUGCGCAGAUAUCAGGAGGAACACCGGUGGCGAAGGCGGAUCUCUGGGCCAUUACUGACGCUGAGGAGCGAAAGCGUGGGGAGCGAACAGG
rnacentral:rRNA from 1 species